AACGCACAUUGCGCCCCCUGGCAUUCCGGGGGGCACGCCUGUCCGAGCGUCAUUGCGAACCCCUCAAGCCCGGCUUGUGUGAUGGGCGCCCGUCCCCCCCCGGCCCCGUGCCCCUGGGGACGCGCCCGAAAGGCAGCGGCGGCGCCGAACCGUGGCCCAGCGCAUGGGGACUCAGUCACGCGCUCGCGCCCACGAUCGGUACGCCGGCCAGACCAUGUCGACCCCCUCACCGGUUGACCUCGGAUCAGGCGGGGAUACCCGCUGAACUUAA
rnacentral:misc_RNA from 1 species